rnacentral:misc_RNA from 1 species
GGAAGUAAAAGUCGCAACAAGGUCUCCGUAGGUGAACCUGCGGAAGGAUCAUUAUUGGAUUUUGAAACUUCAGGCUGCUGCUGGCUCUCCUCGGAGGGCAUGUGCACGCUUGUUGUCCAUUAUUUCUCCCACUGUGCACAAAUUGUAGACCUUUCAGUAGGCCUAUGUUGUUUUUCACAAUCUCUGAAUGUAAUAGAAUGGUUUUGAAUCUUGGGAAAUACAAUACAACUUUCAGCAACGGAUCUCUUGGCUCUC